rnacentral:rRNA from 1 species
CCUACGGGAAGCAGCAGUGAGGAAUAUUGGUCAAUGGACGAGAGUCUGAACCAGCCAAGUAGCGUGAAGGAUGACUGCCCUAUGGGUUGUAAACUUCUUUUAUAUGGGAAUAAAAUGUUCCACGUGUGGGAUUUUGUAUGUACCAUAUGAAUAAGGAUCGGCUAACUCCGUGCCAGCAGCCGCGGUAAUACGGAGGGUCCGAGCGUUAUCCGGAUUUAUUGGGUUUAAAGGGAGCGUAGGUGGAUUGUUAAGUCAGUUGUGAAUGUUUGCGGCUCAACCGUAAAAUUGCAGUUGAAACUGGCAGUCUAGAGUACAGUAGAGGUGGGCGGAAUUCGUGGUGUAGCGGUGAAAUGCUUAGAUAUCACGAAGAACUCCGAUUGCGAAGGCAGGUCACUGGACUGCAACUGACACUGAGGCUCGAAAGUGUGGGUAUCAAACAGGAUUAGAUACCCGUGUAGUC